AAAAAAAAAAAAAAAAAAGGCCUUGGAUUAACUUCAGGAGAUGAUCAGUAGUUUCUCUAUAUUCCUACACAUGCAUAAGACCAAGAAAUAAUAAACCCCAUUCCCACACCCAGUUUUCACAUGUAAAUUAUCAGAAUAUCCAAACAAAGUGCAACCUUAGGAACCUUUUGUUAGUUUAGGUGCCUAAUGUUACUACAUUUACUCACAAUUCCACCUCAGAAGAAAAUAAGCAUACUUUACUGAUCUGAAUGACACUUAACCACCAUGAGUUCACUUACCAUCUUGCUUGACUCCCCGCACAGAAGAAUUGCAAGUAAGAGUUUCAAACUAGAAAAGUCAAAAAUUUGAAUUACCUAAAGGUGAAAUCAUCCUAGACAAAUAUGACAGCAACAAAAUACUAGAAAUUGCAAAAUUAUACUAAGCAUGCAUUUAUGGGAAGGCUAUUUAAUAAGCUUUUAGCUCAAUACAAAACGUUGACAUUAUUACAGUAGGAAAAUGCCACUGAAUAGGUCCAAUGACAUGUAC
rnacentral:misc_RNA from 1 species